CCCUUAGACGUUCUGGGCCGCACGCGCGCUACACUGACGAAGGCAACGAGCUUUCCUUUACCGAAAGGUACGGGUAAUCUUUUGAAACUUCGUCGUGCUGGGGAUAGAUCCUUGCAAUUAUUGAUCUUAAACGAGGAAUUCCUAGUAAGCGCAAGUCAUCAACUUGCGUUGAUUACGUCCCUGCCCUUUGUACACACCGCCCGUCGCUACUACCGAUUGAAUGGUUUAGUGAGGCCUUCGGAUCCGCGACUCGUUUCGUGGAGAAGUUGGACAAACUCAGUCAUUUAGAGGAAGUAAAAGUCGUAACA
rnacentral:rRNA from 1 species